AUCAGGGUCACACGUUCAACAUACUUUGACUGGGUCAAAGAUCAAAGGGAAUGCAUGUAAGGGUGUACCACCAUAUGGUGGGGGAUCCACACAGGAUCCCCUGGUUGAACCCAACAAAUGGCACCGCCAUGAGGGGCCACGUGGCACCCCAAAAUAAUAAUAAUAAAAUAUAAAACAAGAAAACAGAGGAAGUGAGAUCAUUCCUCUCAUUCCACUCUCUCUCUACGCUCUCUCU
rnacentral:lncRNA from 1 species